rnacentral:miRNA from 1 species
UCGUGAACCACCUUUCAAGUACC